rnacentral:rRNA from 1 species
UGCCAGCAGCCGCGGUAAUACGGAGGGUGCAAGCGUUAAUCGGAAUUACUGGGCGUAAAGCGCGCGUAGGCGGCUUUGUAAGUCGGAUGUGAAAGCCCUGGGCUCAACCUGGGAAUUGCAUUCGAUACUGCAUGGCUAGAGUAUGGUAGAGGGAAGUGGAAUUUCCGGUGUAGCGGUGAAAUGCGUAGAUAUUCGGAGGAACACCAGUGGCGAAGGCGGCUUUCUGGACCGAUACUGACGCUGAGACGCGAAAGCGUGGGGAGCAAACAGGAUUAGAUA